CUUUUUCCCUCCUUGUUUCUCUGAUUUCAUUUUAAUUUUACUAGCAAUUCAAUCAACCUCUAUGCAGUUGUGCGAUUUUCAAUUCUUCAUUUGCUCUUUCGAUUUCUGGUUCAAUUUUGUUCAAUUUUUGUAAUUGACGGUUUGGUGCAUUUCAAAUCUGAUUUUCCUGGUUAAUUAAAUUCUCUUAUUUCUUUUUAGUUUUAAUAGCACUCAACAUGUUCGAUGAAAUGCUUUAACCAAAUUUCUAGUUGGUUUUAUUAUUUCUGGUUGGUCAAGUUUGCAUACUAAAUUCUCUUGUUUAAUGAAUGAAUUGUUAGACUUAGAGUAGAAGGGCCAAUUUAAUGAUAAUGCCCUUGACUUAUUCUAGUUCUUGCUUUAAGGACAAGUAGAAUUUGAUUCAUGAACUUAGUGGCUGUUCCUUCAUCUUCUCGCUGGUUUUUUGUAUCUAAUUUUUCUAAAACUUAAUUUCUGUGAUAUCUACUUUUGAUGGACUGUCUCUCUAUUUACUAGACAUUUGUCAGCCAAAGCAAAGAAAUAAAAAGAAAGAAAAUAACUUAAUUAUGCUGUAAGAAAUUAAGUUUUAGGCUUGCAGAGCAUGAUGGCAAUAGAACAAUUUUAUGGAAGGAAACAGUAACCUCGAGGCUAAGGAGCCACUUCUUCAAUGCAUUUGUGCAUACAGGGAGGUAAAAUUACUAUUAUAUGUUCUUUAACUCAUUGAGCUUUGAAUUACUUCUCUAAUCUAUUUAUAUCAGCAAUUUACAUCUGAUUGGUUAUAUGGCUAGAAAGUUAUACUGUUUCAACUGAUGCCUUCCAUAAAAUAGUGGUUAGUCUCUUUAUGAUUAAAUUUUGGAGAUUGGAAGCAAUAGUGAAUUGUCCUUUUAUGGUUAAAUUUUGUGGUUAGUCUAUUAUAUUAUUUUGCUGUUGAAUUACUUUGCUGUUGCUAGCUAACAGUAGGACAUGAUCAUUUAUCCACUAGCUAGUAAAAUAGUCAAUGUCAAACCAUAAGUUUCAAUAAUUUCAAAACAGAAAAAAUCUUAGCUAUAUAUGUAAACUGAAAUAAAAUAAUAAGGGCCAGGUGAACUAGAAAAUUACAUGUAUAUAUCUUGGAAUGUUGAUAAUUAUUAUAAAAUAAUAAAUUAAACUUUUCCUUUUUAAUUAAACUUUUUGGACUAUUGUUUUUAAUUUGUUCUUCAUCUAGUUAACUAGGAUAGAACUUAAUUAACUUUCAGCUCUUUCUUAAUAAUAAUAUAUUCAUUAGCCUGAAUCUUUAAUUCUUUAUAACAGUAUUGAUGACUUUUAUAGGUUGCUUCCAUGUCUUUUUUCUUAUUUUUUAAUAAGAAAACCAAGACUGCUUAUUGUUUGGUCCCUAACAAAGGAUCUUAAAUCUUAAGAUUAGUAUCUCAUAUUGCUUAUUUCUUGUUCGUUGGAUUGGUAUACUUUAUUAAUUAUAGUCUCUAUUUUUAUUUGAAAUAAUUAAUGUACAAGAGCUCUAAGGUCAGCACAUUGAAAUCAAUAAAUAAUGGUUACCAUUACCAUUAGUAUUUAGUAGUUCGAAUUAUACUUACUGUGAAAUCUGUUCGACAUGCCAUCAUCUUCUCUGCCUUCCACUAGCAAACCUUUCUUCUCUUUCCCCAUCACGAACAGAGCAGCUAAGUGAAACAAUUAUGGUUGAACUUUUGCAUUUGUGUCUUUAUGCAUCUGACCUGUUCGGCGAAAUGCUUCGUCCAUCUAAGGAAAUCAAGGUAAACCUUUAUGCUUAUUCCUUUGAGUCUCUAUCUUAGUGUAUGUUAAGUUUCAAUUUUAGGGUUUGUGCAAUCAUGAAAUUCUUAUUCAUUUGUUUGUAAACUUAAUAUUUGUCCUGCAUUAUAGUUUGAGAGUCAUGAAAAUGUAAAAGCUUAUUAUGAGAAAGAAUAAGGUGUACAUAUAUUCUUAAUUUAUAUGUUUAAUUAAUCCUCUGCUGCUGUGUGUAAUAAUUCUUUUGUACUUUUAUUUUAAUUCUUAAAAGCAAAUCAUUGUUUCUUAUCCUAAUAAUAGGUAAGAGAUAUAAAGGUAGCAUAUAGGAUUGAAUUGAAUAGGAAAGUUUAUUAUUACAAUAGCUAACUAGUUUAUUGUGUAAUUGAAGUUCGAAUGAACAAAACUUGAAACAAAAUAGUAAUGCAAACUUCAAACACGUUUGCUUUGCUUCAUUUGAUUUGGAGCUUUGACCAUAUUUAAUUUGUUUUGUUUUUAUUUGGAUUUGGAACUUUGACUUUUCCAAGUUGCUGAAUCGAGCUUUGCGAGAAAAUGAAAGUCUAGUUCUCCAUGGUGAAGCUCUGAAGGCCUCAUACCCACUUUUGUGUUGCUUUUGGGUCUUUUUUAUCAUUCCAGAGUCUCCUAGAUGGCUGGUGAAGAGAGACUGAGGAAAAGAAUUCGAGGCAGCAUUGAGAACACUUAGGGGAAAAGAUGCUGAUAUAUCUCAAGAGGCAGAUGAUUUCUGGCGCUCUGCGAACAGGUAUUAAAAGGAGAAAGCUUGUACAAUUCGAAGAGGAAGAAGAUGAACACCUCGAACCAAAUGUUGUUGAUCCUAGAGGAAUUUUUUUAUUUUUAAGUUUUUCUUAUUUUUUAUUUUAUGUUAUGAAAUACAAUGUUGGUAUGUUUGUGGAAUUCUA